rnacentral:tRNA from 1 species
AGCUCGACUGGACUGAUAAUCCGGGAUUUUCGCCCUCGAUCAUGAGGGUCUGUAUUCGCACACGGCUCAUAAUCGUGGUGUCGCGGGUUCGAGUCCCGCCCUCG